UGUAAGUACCUUAAUAAUUCCAAAGGUAUAUACAAAUCUGUAUCUAGGGUCGACGAAGUUUACUGAGUGAUUAACGGUCAUGUGAGAGUAGUUCGCAUCCUUUAAACCAUUGUAUGACUUCCAGCAGUCGGAUAUAAUUCUGGUUCCAUUGGCGAUGUUGGCCUCUAUAAUUGGAAGGAGCUUUUCCUGGCUACGGUCCUCCACAGGCACCAAAAAAAAGUCACCGGUUUCUCUGCAAAUUCCUCCGAAAACCCACUGGCCAUCCACCACGCGACCACAAUUAUACUUGCGCCGGCCAACCGUCUCCACCUAUUAUUUGUUUUGCGUUCUUCUUCGUCCAGCUAAGAUAAAUUUCCCGAAGAAAAUUACUCCAGUCAACCACCGUCUGUUGGGACCAGCCUAGUUCUUCCCGAAGGAAUGAGAUUGUUGAACCCUUCAUCUCCCAAGCCACAAAAUUACAGGCCUGUUUAAUGCCAACGUGGGACUUGCUGAAGAAUGUCCGUUUAAUGGCGGAUUCCUUACAAAUAUAAUUUAAAGCAAUAUUUUUUUUAAAUUAAACAAUUGUUACCUUAAA